GACAAUGGGCGCAMUGNANUCCAGCCAUGCCGCGUGAGUGAUGAAGGCCCUAGGGUUGUAAAGCUCUUUCAGCGGGGAAGAUAACGACGGUACCCGCAGAAGAAGCCCCGGCUAACUUCGUGCCAGCAGCCGCGGUAAUACGAAGGGGGCUAGCGUUGUUCGGAAUUACUGGGCGUAAAGCGCACGUAGGCGGGUAUUUAAGUCAGGGGUGAAAUCCCGGAGCUCAACUCCGGAACUGCCUUUGAUACUGGGUACCUAGCAGUAUCGGAAGAGGUAAGUGGAAUUCCGAGUGUAGAGGUGAAAUUCGUAGAUAUUCGGAGGAACACCAGUGGCGAAGGCGGCUUACUGGUCCAUUACUGACGCUGAGGUGCGAAAVGCUGGGGARCAAACAGAGAUUAGAUACCCUGGUARUCCACGCCGUAAACGAUGAAUGUYARCCGUCGGCAUGCAUGCAUGUACGCGUGGCGCMGUAACGCCAUUAAACAUUCCGCCCUGGGGAGUACGGUCGCAAGAUUAAAACUCNMAAGAAUUGACGGGGGCCCGCACAAGCGCUGGAGCAUGUGGUUUAAUUCGARCCACGSCAGAACCUU
rnacentral:rRNA from 1 species